AUGGCGGCGUGCCCCGCCGCGACCACGGCUCGCGUGGGAGCAGCGCACGGAGGAGGCCUCUGGAGGAGAAGCGGGAGGAGCCCGAGCUUCCCCGCGCGCCCGGCCCGUGGCACGAGCACGGCAGCGCGCGCCUCGGAGCUGCAGCAGGCCCCCGCCCCCGCCGCCGCCGCCGCCGUCCCGACCCACAAGGUCACCGUCCACGACCGGGAGCGCGGGGUCGUCCACCACUUCCUCGUGCCCCAGGACCAGUACAUUCUGCACACCGCGGAGGCGCAGGACAUCACGCUCCCCUUCGCCUGCCGCCAUGGUUGCUGCACCAGCUGUGCUGUUAGGAUAAAAUCAGGGCAAAUAAGACAGCCUGAAGCUCUUGGAAUAUCCGCCGACUUAAGAGAGCAGGGCUAUGCUUUGUUAUGUGUUGGUUACCCAUCCUCUGAUCUUGAAGUUGAAACGCAAGAUGAAGAUGAGGUAUAUUGGCUCCAGUUUGGAAGAUACUUUGCGCGGGGGCCUGUUGACAGAGAUGAUUACGCGCUAGAGCUUGCAAUGGGAGACGAGUGA
rnacentral:rRNA from 1 species